GGCAAAUCUGAAGGUAGUGAGCUAUCUCAGUAGAUUGUUCACAGUUACAGUUCAAACUCCUUGUUCUACUUCCCCCUUCUCACUUGACUAGCCUAGA
rnacentral:Y_RNA from 1 species